CCUACGGGGGGCAGCAGUGAGGAAUAUUGGUCAAUGGACGAGAGUCUGAACCAGCCAAGUAGCGUGAAGGAUGACUGCCCUCUGGGUUGUAAACUUCUUUUAUAUGGGAAUAAAACGUUCCACGUGUGGGAUUUUGUAUGUACCAUAUGAAUAAGGAUCGGCUAACUCCGUGCCAGCAGCCGCGGUAAUACGGAGGAUCCGAGCGUUAUCCGGAUUUAUUGGGUUUAAAGGGAGCGUAGGUGGAUUGUUAAGUCAGUUGUGAAAGUUUGCGGCGCAACCGUAAAAUUGCAGUUGAAACUGGCAGUCUUGAGUACAGUAGAGGUGGGCGGAAUUCGUGGUGUAGCGGUGAAAUGCUUAGAUAUCACGAAGAACUCCGAUUGCGAAGGCAGUUCACUGGACUGCAACUGACACUGAGGCUCGAAAGUGUGGGUAUCAAACAGGAUUAGAUACCCGAGUAGUC
rnacentral:rRNA from 1 species